UACGGCGGGUGCAAGCGUUAAUCGGAAUUACUGGGCGUAAAGCGCGCGUAGGCGGCUAGAUAAGUCGGAUGUGAAAGCCCCGGGCUCAACCUGGGAACUGCAUACGAUACUGUUUGGCUAGAGUAUGAGAGAGGGAGGUGGAAUUCCACGUGUAGCGGUGAAAUGCGUAGAUAUGUGGAGGAAUACCGGUGGCGAAGGCGGCCUCCUGGCUUAAUACUGACGCUGAGGUGCGAAAGCGUGGGGAUCAAACAGG
rnacentral:rRNA from 1 species